rnacentral:rRNA from 1 species
UACGGAGGAUGCGAGCGUUAUCCGGAUUUAUUGGGUUUAAAGGGUGCGUAGGCGGGAUGCCAAGUCAGCGGUAAAAAUGCGGUGCUCAACACCGUCGGGCCGUUGAAACUGGCGUUCUUGAGUGGGCGAGAAGUAUGCGGAAUGCGUGGUGUAGCGGUGAAAUGCAUAGAUAUCACGCAGAACUCCGAUUGCGAAGGCAGCGUACCGGCAUCCAACUGACGCUGAGGCACGAAAGCGUGGGGAUCAAACAGG